rnacentral:rRNA from 1 species
GAUGAACGCUGGCGGCGUGCCUAAUACAUGCAAGUCGAGCGAACAGACGAGGAGCUUGCUCCUCUGACGUUAGCGGCGGACGGGUGAGUAACACGUGGAUAACCUACCUAUAAGACUGGGAUAACUUCGGGAAACCGGAGCUAAUACCGGAUAAUAUAUUGAACCGCAUGGUUCAAUAGUGAAAGACGGUUUUGCUGUCACUUAUAGAUGGAUCCGCGCCGCAUUAGCUAGUUGGUAAGGUAACAGCUUACCAAGGCAACGAUGCGUAGCCGACCUGAGAGGGGGAUCGGCAACAAUGGAACUGAGAAACGGACAAGACGCCGACGGGAGGCAGCAGUAGGGAAUAUUCCGCAAUGGGCGAAAGCAUGACGGAGAAACGCCGCGUGAGUGAUGAAGGUCUUCGGAUCGUAAAACUCUGUUAUGAGGGAAGAACAAAUGUGUAAGUAACUAUGCACGUCUUGACGGUACCUAAUCAGAAAGCAACGGCUAACUACGUG